CUCGUCAAACAGUUACACAUUUGAAUUAUACGGUUUUGCCACCAAUUGCUAUAUUUAGCCAGCAUCAUUCAGUACUUACUUACCGCGCGGCAGAGUGGACGAGUCCCGCACAAGAUGAAGUCGUGCACAAUAUUGUUCCUGCUCAUUGUCGCACUCUGUGCCAUCCAAUCCUGCACAUCAGGAUUCAUUGAAAGUCCUUGUAAGAUAAAUAAAUUGUAUUGGCGUGGAAAUAUGGCUGACUUUUUCAACAAAAAAAACACAAUUGGAGGUGGUGCACUAGAUGCACUAGACUGUUAAAAUAGGUGAAAACCUUCUGUGUCAAAAGUCAAAAACAUUAAUGACACUCAUAAUUAUGACAUUAAUAAAAAUAAUGUUGUUUCUUUGAUUGUGAAUUAUGUGUAUUACUUUUAUAUAUUAAAAUUAUAACUGAC